rnacentral:rRNA from 1 species
GUGAGCAUGUGGUUCAAUUCGAUACGAAGCGAUAAACCUUACCUGGGUUUGAAAUGUACCUGCAAGUCUGCCGAAAAGCAGACGCCUUCGAGGGUGGUACACAGCUGUUGCAUGGCUGUCGUCAGCUCGUGACGUGAGUUGUUCUCUUAAGUGAGGUAACCGAGCGCAACCCCCACUCCGUGUUACUGUGUCACGGAGGACUGCCUAGCAUUAUUUUGUUAGGAGGAAGGAGGGGACGACGUCAAGUCAUCAUGAUGCUUAUAUCCAGGGCUACACACAUCCUACAAUGGGUUGUACAGAGGGUUGCGACACCGCGAGGUGAAGCUAAUCCCCCAAAACAUCCCUCAGUUGGGAUUGCAGGCUGAAAUUCGCCUGCAUGAACCCGGAAUUGGUAGUAAUCGCAAAUCAGCAGAUUGCGGUGAAUACGUUCUCGCCUCUU